CUACGGGUGGCUCCAGUAGGGAAUAUUGGACAAUGGGCGAAAGCCUGAUCCAGCAACGCCGCGUGUGCGAUGACGGCCUUCGGGUUGUAAAGCACUUUUAGAGGAGAUGAGAAAGGACAGUAUCCUCAGAAUAAGCCUCGGCGAACUACGUGCCAGCAGCCGCGGUAAAACGUAGGAGGCAAGCGUUAUCCGGAUUUAUUGGGCGUAAAGCGCGUGCAGGCGGUCUAGCAAGUUGGAUGUGAAAGCUCCCGGCUUAACCGGGAGAGGUCGUUCAAUACUGUUAGACUAGAGAAUGGGAGAGGGAGGUGGAAUUCUGGGUGUAGUGGUGAAAUGCGUAGAUAUCCAGAGGAACACCAGUGGCGAAAGCGGCCUCCUGGACCAUUUCUGACGCUAAGACGCGAAAGCUAGGGUAGCAAACGGGAUUAGAUACCCGCGUAGUC
rnacentral:rRNA from 1 species